rnacentral:rRNA from 2 species
UGCAGUCGAGCGAACUGAUUAGAAGCUUGCUUCUAUGACGUUAGCGGCGGACGGGUGAGUAACACGUGGGCAACCUGCCUGUAAGACUGGGAUAACUUCGGGAAACCGAAGCUAAUACCGGAUAGGAUCUUCUCCUUCAUGGGAGAUGAUUGAAAGAUGGUUUCGGCUAUCACUUACAGAUGGGCCCGCGGUGCAUUAGCUAGUUGGUGAGGUAACGGCUCACCAAGGCAACGAUGCAUAGCCGACCUGAGAGGGUGAUCGGCCACACUGGGACUGAGACACGGCCCAGACUCCUACGGGAGGCAGCAGUAGGGAAUCUUCCGCAAUGGACGAAAGUCUGACGGAGCAACGCCGCGUGAGUGAUGAAGGCUUUCGGGUCGUAAAACUCUGUUGUUAGGGAAGAACAAGUACGAGAGUAACUGCUCGUACCUUGACCGUACCUAACCAGAAAGCCACGGCUAACUACGUGCCAGCAGCCGCGGUUAUACGUAGGUGGCAAGCGUUAUCCGGGAUUAUUGGGCGUAAAGCGGGCCCCAGGCCGUUUCUUAAGUCUUAUGUGGAAGCCCACGGCUCCCCCGGGGGAAGGGCCUUUGGAAACUGGGGAAAUUGAAUUCCGGAGA